rnacentral:rRNA from 1 species
AUUGAACGCUGGCGGCAGGCUUAACACAUGCAAGUCGAGCGAGCGGCGGACGGGUGAGUAAUGUCUGGGAAACUGCCUGAUGGAGGGGGAUAACUACUGGAAACGGUAGCUAAUACCGUAUACCAUCAGAUGUGCCCAGAUGGGAUUAGCGAGUAGGUGGGGUAAUGGCUCACCUUGGCGACGAUCCCUAGCUGGUCUGAGAGGAUUACCAGCCACGCUGGAACUGCGACACGGUCCAGACUCCUACGAGAGGCAGCUGUGGGGAAUAUUGCACAAUGGGCGCAAGCCUGAUGCAGCCAUGCCGCGUGUGGGAAGACGGCCUUCGGGUUGUAAAGCACUUUCAGCGAGGAGGCGUUACUCGCAGAAGAAGCACCGGCUAACUCCGUGCCAGCCGCCGCGGGAAUAC